GUGGGGAAUAUUGGGCAAUGGGCGCAAGCCUGACCCAGCAACGCCGCGUGAAGGAAGAAGGCUUUCGGGUUGUAAACUUCUUUUACCAGGGACGAAAAAAAUGACGGUACCUGGAGAAUAAGCCACGGCUAACUACGUGCCAGCAGCCGCGGUAAUACGUAGGUGGCAAGCGUUGUCCGGAUUUACUGGGUGUACAGGGCGCGUAGGCGGGAGAGCAAGUCAGGAGUGAAAUCUAUGGGCUUAACCCAUAAAUUGCUUUUGAAACUGUUUUUCUUGAGUGAUGGAGAGGCAAGCGGAAUUCCUAGUGUAGCGGUGAAAUGCGUAGAUAUUAGGAGGAACACCAGUGGCGAAGGCGGCUUGCUGGACAAUAACUGACGCUGAUGCGCGAAAGCGUGGGGAGCAAACAGGAUUAGAUACCCGUGUAGUCC
rnacentral:rRNA from 1 species